rnacentral:rRNA from 1 species
UACGAAGGGGGGCUAGCGUUGCUCGGAAUCACUGGGCGUAAAGCGCACGUAGGCGGCUUGGCAAGUCGGAUGUGAAAUCCCUCGGCUCAACCAAGGAAGUGCAUCCGAAACUGCUGAGCUUGAGUACUUAAGAGGAUCGCGGAAUUCCCCGGUGUAGAGGUGAAAUUCGUAGAUAUCGGGAGGAACACCAGUGGCGAAGGCGGCGAUCUGGGGAAGAUACUGACGCUGAGGUGCGAAAAGCGUGGGGGAGCAAACAGG